rnacentral:rRNA from 1 species
GAUGAACGCUGGCGGCGUGCCUAAUACAUGCAAGUCGAGCGAACGGACUAGAAGCUUUCUUCUCUGAUGUUAUCGGCGGACGGGUGAGUAACACGUGGAUAACCUACCUAUAAGACUGGGAUAACUUCGGGAAACCGGAGCUAAUACCGGAUAAUAUUUUGAACCGCAUUGUUCAAAAGUGAAAUACGGUCUUGCUGUCACUUAUAGAUUGAUCCGCGCUGCAUUAGCUAGUUGGUAAGGUAACUGCUUACCAAGGCAACGAUGCAUAGCCGACCUGAGAGGGUGAUCGGCCACACGGGAACUGAGACACGGUCCAGACUCCUACGGGGGGCAGCAGUAGGGAAUCUUCCGCAAUGGGCGAAAGCCUGACGGAGCAAAGCAGCGUGAGUGAUGAAGGUCUUCGGAUCGUAAAACUCUGUUAUUAGGGAAGAACAUAUGUGUAAGUAACUGUGCACAUCUUGACGGUACCUAAUCAGAAAGCCACGGCUAACUACGUG